CGAUGUAUAGGAGCUGACGCCUGCCCGGUGCUGGAAGGUUAAGGGGAUCUGUUAGAGUAAUCGAAGCAGUGAACUUAAGCCCCAGUAAACGGCGGCCGUAACUAUAACGGUCCUAAGGUAGCGAAAUGCCUUGUCGGGUAAGUUCCGACCCGCACGAAAGGCGUAACGAUUUGGGCACUGUCUCAACAACAGACUCGGUGAAAUUGUAAUUCCGGUGAAGAUGCCGGAUACCUGCGACAGGACGGAAAGACCCCAUGGAGCUUUACUGUAGCUUGACAUUGGGUCUUGGUACUACAUGUACAGGAUAGGU
rnacentral:rRNA from 1 species